AACGAACGCUGGCGGCGUGGUUUAGGCAUGCAAGUCGAGCGAGAAAGUCCUUCGGACGAGUACAGCGGCGAAAGGGUGAGUAAUAUAUAGGUAACCUACCUCUUGGACUCGGAUAAUUCCUGGAAACGGGUUGUAAUACGAGAUCGUCCUAUUGGGUCGCAUGGCCCGACUGGUAAAUGGUAGCUCUGCUUCUGCCGAGAGAGGGGCCUAUAUCCUAUUAGCUAGUUGGUGAGGUAAUGGCUCACCAAGGCUUUGAUGGGUAGCCGGACUGAGAGGUUGGCCGGUCACACUGGGACUGAGACACUGCCCAGACUCCUACGGGAGGCUGCAGUCGAGAAUCUUCCGCAAUGGGCGAAAGCCUGACGGGGCUACGCCGCGUGAACGAAGAAGGCCUCGGUUGUAAG
rnacentral:rRNA from 1 species